rnacentral:lncRNA from 1 species
GGAUCCAGACCGUGGUAUGGAGAAAAGAAGCACCAUGACUGUGAGGGACCAGGUUGCCUGCAGCUGAGAGAUGCCAUUUGUGCAGGGAGCAGCCAGGGCUCUGCGAGGCAAAAAAGGAAUUGCGGAGAUAGAGCAAUCAAAUCCAAGUCCUGGGUGAACUUGAAGUGUUGUCUCAAGGACAAGGAGCCAGUGGCCAGGCAGGGGGUUGUGCCAACUGCUCUGAAAUGUCAGCAUUUAUCUUGCUCCGUGGCUCGGAUACAUUAUCUUUUCUGGGUCAGGCAGCCUGAAAAUAUCCCUCUGGUGAAAACAGGUGAUUCAAAGCCUGGCAGCUCAGCUGGUUGCAUGCCCUUUGUGUAUACCCCUGCGAACCUGCUACAACAUGAGGCAAGGGUGCAGGUGUCUGUAGGACUGAUAGCAGAACUGAUACACAGCUUGUCUCAUCCAGAGAUGAGGAUGAGCUCUGGGCAGUGCUCAUGAGGAGAGCAGCUUCUUCUGCGGUCACCUCUGGGAAAAUCCUCACUGCCAAGGGACGGCUUAUUCUUCCCUCAUAGGUAGUCAUGCUCAUGUCUUCUCAAAGCUGGAGUUUUUCUUGCUGAAAGUCUUCCUACCCCAAUCUUGAAAGUGUAAACCUGUGGAAAGUUUUUAUCCACCUAUUUGCUGGAUUGUACCAAGCCCCUCUGGUGCAAGUUUGCUGCAGCUCUCAUUAAACUCUGCCAACACUGUGUGAAAGGAUACCAAAAGACAUUUUGACUUAAAAUCUGGAUUUUAUGAGAGAAAAAGAGCCACAGGUUUAUUUCAGUUUUGUUUACCUAUAAAAUAAUGCAACUAUAAUUAAAGCAUCACUUGCAUCUCUGUCUGCCUGAAACUAUUCUGACAACAUAUUUUUUCUUUCUGAUUCAUCUACAUUGAAAACUUCCUCUGUUACAAUGCUGACUUUGAUGAUAUUUUGGGUUGAGCCCUUUAAAUGAUUUUUCACUUCACAAUGAGUUUCUGUCCCCAGACAUAUUUUGUUCUAUAUUACAUUAUAUUAAUA